UCCAGUCCGCGUGCUAGAACCAAGCCGCUCCAGAAAUGUAACCACCAGCAUCCCACCCCUGGGUGGGCAGAUUUUACCUGCAUAAAAUUUUUGUAUAGUGUAUACCGGUCCAUGCCGGUCCGGUUUUUUUACAUGAACGUCAAAUUGUCUUCUACACAGGGGUGUUUUAGAUGCUCAAGCAUCUGCCCCAUCUCCCCUUUUUUCCCCUGUGCAUUGCUCAUAUGACUUAUCAAGAAGAAUUUUAGCAGCCAGUGACACUCAUGGAUAUUGGACACUGGCAAACAGGACGGCGUGGCAUUUCUUGUUCUCAAUCGUUAUAAUAUAUAAUCGUAAAAUGGUAGCAGAGGGGCCUGGAGCCUAUCCCUGGCUGCCGAGGACAGCAAGCAGGGAGACACGCUGGCUGGGAUGGCAUGGAUGUGUAGCUGUAUGUGAGCGUCACCUUCCCCGCAUCCAGCAGCUGACAUCGCCAUUUCCUCUGGUCCUUCUCUGUCCUCCGAUGGUCAAUCGGCAGAGUGGAGUUACAGG